rnacentral:lncRNA from 1 species
AAGAAAUCUAGGUUGCCUCCUAGUAGCGCUUGUUUAACGUCACAAGCCUGACCCAAACCUGGUUGCACUUGUCAGUAAGUGCACUACCUUCCACCACCCAUCAGUAGGUGUACUUUCCGGAUAUCCUUCAGUGGAUACCUAUAUCUUCUAACAUCCCCCAGUAGAUGGUAUCCCGGUAGCAUUCACAAGUAAAUGCUAAUCUUUCUAAUCUUCAUUGGCAUCCAUCAAUAAAUGUCAUAUCACCUAACAUCCAUCAGUAGAUGUUGUAGAAGCAUCCAUCAGUAGAUGUUAUCAUCACUACCAUCAGAAGUCGCGCAUAUCCCAAAAAUAAAUAAAAUAAAAUAAAACAAAAUAAAACCAAAUCAAAUAAAAUAAAAAAAAUCAAAUAAAAUAAAAUAAAAUAAAUCAAAUCAAAUCAAAACGAAAUUGAAAAAAAUUCAGAAACUGGGUUGCCUCCCAGCAAGCGCUCUUUUAACGUCAUUAGCUUGACCCGAUAAAGCCCAAACACCCCUCAGUAGGUGUUGAUUUUUAACGUUGACGUUCUUCC